rnacentral:piRNA from 1 species
UGGUCACCAUACAAAUGGAAAGAGCAGGA